AUUGAACGCUGGCGGCAGGCCUAACACAUGCAAGUCGAACGGUAGCACAGAGAGCUUGCUCUCGGGUGACGAGUGGCGGACGGGUGAGUAACGUCUGGGAAACUGCCCGAUGGAGGGGGAUAACUACUGGAAACGGUAGCUAAUACCGCAUAACGUCGCAAGACCAAAGGGGGGGACCUUCGGGCCUCACGCCAUCGGAUGUGCCCAGAUGGGAUUAGCUAGUAGGUGGGGUAAUGGCUCACCUAGGCGACGAUCCCUAGCUGGGCUGAGAGGAUGACCAGCCACACUGGAACUGAGACACGGUCCAGACUCCUACGGGAGGCAGCAGUGGGGAAUAUUGCACAAUGGGCGCAAGCCUGAUGCAGCCAUGCCGCGUGUAUGAAGAAGGCCUUCGGGUUGUAAAGUACUUUCAGCGGGGAGGAAGGCGGUGAAGUUAAUAACUUCACCGAUUGACGUUACCCGCAGAAGAAGCACCGGCUAACUCCGUGCCAGCCGCCGCGGUAA
rnacentral:rRNA from 1 species